GCUCAGUAACACGUGGACAAUUUACCCUUGGGACCAGGAUAACCCCUGGGAAACUGGGGCUAAUACUGGAUGGAGCACCGGCUGCUGGAAUGCGCGAUGCUCGAAAGCUGAGGCGCCCAAGGAUAGGUCUGCGGCUGAUUAGGUUGUUGUUGAUGUAACGGAUCAACAAGCCCGCGAUCGGUACGGGUUGUGAGAGCAAUAGCCCGGAGAUGGGUUCUGAGAAAAGAACCCAGGUCCUACGGGACGCAUCAGGCGCGAAAACUUUACAAUGUGCGAAAGCGCGAUAAGGGAACUCUGAGUGCCUCCUAAGGAGGCUGUUCAGGUGUCUAAAAAGCAUCUGGAGUAAGGGCUGGGCAAGACCGGUGCCAGCCGCCGCGGUAACACCGGCAGCUCAAGUGGUAGCCAUGCUUAUUGGGUCUAAAGCGUCCGUAGCCGGCUGAGUAAGUUCCUUGGGAAAUUUGACCGCUUAACGGUUAAGCUAUCAGGGAAUACUGCUUGGCUUGGGACCGGGAGAGGUCAGAGGUACUCCAGGGGUAGGGGUGAAAUCUAUUAAUCCUUGGGGGACCACCGGUAGCGAAGGCGUCUGACCAGACCGGGUC
rnacentral:rRNA from 1 species